GUGCACGCUGGCGGUAGGCCUCACACCUGCCAGUCGAACGGCAGCACAGUAAGAGCUUGCUCUUACGGGUGGCGAGUGGCGGACGGGUGAGGAAUACAUCGGAAUCUACUUUUUCGUGGGGGAUAACGUAGGGAAACUUACGCUAAUACCGCAUACGACCUACGGGUGAAAGCAGGGGAUCUUCGGACCUUGCUCGAUUGAAUGAGCCGAUGUCGGAUUAGCUAGUUGGCGGGGUAAAGGCCCACCACGGCGACGAUCCGUAGCUGGUCUGAGAGGAUGAUCAGCCACACUGGAACUGAGACACGGUCCAGACUCCUACGGGAGGCAGCAGUGGGGAAUAUUGGACAAUGGGCGCAAGCCUGAUCCAGCCAUACCGCGUGGGUGAAGAAGGCCUUCGGGUUGUAAAGCCCUUUUGUUGGGAAAGAAAAGCAGCAGGUUAAUACCCCGCUGUUCUGACGGUACCCAAAGAAUAAGCACCGGCUAACUUCGUG
rnacentral:rRNA from 1 species